CUCAGCCCUCCGCCCCGGCCCGCAUACAACGCUGUCUGCACCGCUCCCCUGCCUUCUUCCGGGCUCCCAGAGCACCGCUAUGGAGAUGCUCUCCCGGCAUUUGAGGAAGAAUUGAUUGUCCUCAUCCUGCAACUGUACUUGCCCAACCGAUAUUUAUUGAUGCCUGCAGUGUCCUGGGUGCCUACCAAGGGGCACAGAACUGGAUCCGACGCAGACCCUGCCUGCCUUCAGGUUGCUUGAAGAUGAACAGAGAGAUCGGACCUCUGCAGAGAAGAAAGGCUUCCUGUCUCUCAUCUCUGGGACUGGCAGUGGCUGCACCAGCGACAGCCAGCAGCAGUGGCUGGCAGAUCCACACCAGCAGAGACGAAGCUGAGCAACAGCUCUGGAGUGAUGGCAAGAAGACCCAAGGCACUGUGGUACCUGUUGUCAACACUCAGAUUCUGUAACCUGUAUCAGAGGAAGAUGGAGUGACCUCUGGUGGCCUAAGAAAAGCCACCACCAUGCCCAUACCAUGUGGAGAGCUAGGAAGGGAGGUCUCUACUGUCUUGUCCUGUCUUAGUGGGUACAACUGUGGUUUGUCAGGAAAAGGUGGCUGGCAGGGGGAACAGUUGCUACUACCUCGUUGUUCUGCCUUUGCUCUGUGAUCCUUUGACACUCAUGGCAUUCAGUUAUACCUCUCUUUUUCUACCUUUAAUUUGUCAUCCUCUGCCAACUCUCUAUUCACGCUCCCUCAAAAGUAACACAGUAUAUUGGCUAAGUUCAUGGACUCCAAAGUUGGACUUUUUUUUUUUUUUUGAGACAGAGUCUCACUCUGUCGCCUAAGCUGGAGUGCAAUGGCGCAAUCUCGGCUCACUGCAACCUGCCUCCACCUCCUAGGUUCAAGCGAUUCUCCUGCUUCAGCCUCCCGAGUACCUGGGACUACAGGCAUGUGCCACCACACCCGGCUAAUUUUUUAUUUUUAGUAGAGACGGAGUUUCACCAUGUCGGUCAGGCUGGUCUCGAACUCCUGACCCCAGGUGAUCCGUCUGCCUCGGUCUCCCAAAGUGCUGGGAUUACAGGCGUGAGCCACAGUGCCCGGCCCAAACUUGGACUUUUUUAAUCCUCACCCCAUUCCUUACUACUGUAUAGUCUUGGAUGAAUUACAGAAACUCCCCAUUCCUUAGUUUUCUCUU
ensembl:lncRNA RRAGC-DT RRAGC divergent transcript